CAGCAUAGCUGCGCUGCUGCUCUGCUGUUUUAGUGUAGCACAUACCUAGGUUAAGUUAAUGCUAUAGCACCAAUAUUCUAUUGUUUAGAUUUAUCUAUAGCCUGCAGAUAACCUGGCAUUUAACAGUUCAAUUGGAAUUGUGAUAACGGUUGGGAGGACGUUCAUGGUAUAUUGCAAAUAGAGACUAACAGAUCAAGAUAUGGGUUUGCCGAGUUUAAAAUUGAUUACCGGUGUGGGUUUGGUCGUUUACUUCAUGGUGUGGCUGACGAAGAAGUUGAAUGAACUCCCAAGUCCUCCCACUCCAGCUCCAUUGGUGACCACGACGUCGACGGCGGCGCCAGCGGCUCACAGAUUCAACCACAAUCGUCACAUCGGCCUACGUAAAGGAUGAACUUUGUCUCGCGAGUAUCUUAUAUGUAAAUACACGAUAUUGUUGUUGUUUCAAUAAAUAAAUGUUACACAUUAAGAAUUUGUAAGUCAC